UCCCUGGUGGUCUAGUGGCUAGGAUUCGGCGCUUUCACCGCCGCGGCCCGGGUUCGAUUCCCGGUCAGGGAG
rnacentral:tRNA from 1 species